ACCAGCAGCAGGCAGCAGACCUCCAAAGACCCGCCUACAAAUUGGAUGCAAUAUCGAAGAUGCAGUCACCAUUUGCUCAGUGGAGCAGGGUGUACAAGAGGGGAAACGGUAGGAGAGGGGAGGGGGCAUAUCCGGGCGGGCACGGUGUGGAUCUGGCCCGCGCCGGCCUGUAACCGUAGCUCUCUACUUUUCUUCGAGUUGAGGGAGGAAAAACCUAUGGAAGAAAGGACUCGUGGGAGGAGGCCCCGCCGCCGCCGUCCUUGAACCUAGGCGGACUUACCGCACGGGGGCUCUAUGGUAGCGCCGCAGAGGCGAGGUGGAGUGAGGGAGGGGAAGGGGCGGAGCGAGCCGUUUUCCAUGGUGGCCAUUGUUGCGGGUGCAUAUCUGGGUAUCGCACCCAUUGGCAGAGAGGAGGCGGACCAUGUUACGACAGUUCGGAGGCAGUGUUGGAUUGCAGCACGAAGAAGCACUUUAAUUUGGAGGCGCACAAACCUUCUAGAUUAGUUUGUAGUUCGUGCUCGUGUCGUGCCUAGGAAUUAUGCGCGGCUGGUGAAGUAUAUACUCACCACUCUCCAUGAGUUUCCAUCUAGUAUCAUACGGAGUGCUUGGUAGUAGCUGUACUUGUUAUACUAUUAUAUCCACAUCCUUUGACCUUUGACCUUAAAACCAACCUGCAUGCUAGAAGAAAGUUUUUGCAUGUACUUGAGAGCCUACUCAUGCAUGCUUUGUGAUCUUCUUUCCACUCUUGCCAAUACCCAGCAGAAUUAUACUGGUCUCGUGAAGAUGCCCGAGUGCGGGGGAGGGCAGGAGGCCAGUUCCUCCUCAAAGGCCAUCUUGUGGUGCGCCUCUUUUUUACACUAUUCAUGCUUAUAGUGUAAUAUACCGCAGGAUGUACUUAUAGUGCCACUACAUUUGCCCUAAUAAGGCGUAGGCGAGGGAGCUAGAAUUCCAAACAGCCCUAACCCACAAGUGAGACCUAGCUAGCAUAUAGAACUCGCCAUCAUCAAUUAGCAUCACUCCCCAUGCGAUGCCCGCGCUAGAAGAAUUGGAAGCGGUGAACGUUCUUGCCCCGGUGCCAACUCCUUAAAAAAUUAUUGUUGCGCUCUGGCUUCCUUCCCCAACUUCUUUGCCUGAGCAGGAGGCGUGGUACCUUUGUACAGGUUACGAGCUCAGCUAGUGAAGCCUGCACAUAGCAGCUGUCAAGGAGCGAAGCUAAUUUUCUAUGGUGGGACCUGAUCUUUUUUCAAGCUUCACUCCACGAUGUGGAGGGCCUCAUUGGUGAGCAAGACCAGACCCGGCCCCCAAUCAACCCUACCAUAAUUUGGGAACCAAAUCUUUCAGCGAUCAACAUUUCUAACCUCUCACAAUCGCUUAUGCAUGCAUCAUGCGCCUCGAGUAUAAUAGUCCCUGUCGCCAUACUUAUAGCGGGCGCCUUCAUCCUGCUUUCUCCAUACACGACGCGGUGUGUGUGCACGCGCUUAAUUAAUAUAAAACCCCAAUAAUCAGGUGGCUCCCUCCUCCUUGAUUGCGUUUCCAUGGCAAGCAAGUUGAUGACAGCUGACAAGGAUCGAUGAGCCUCUGGACAGAAAGGUGUAACGGCCAACGGACGACAAAGGGGAUGGGGCUCGGGACCUGCCUAGGAAUCCGUCGAGGACGACGACGUACGGGCAAUAGGACCGCGCGCGCCCCGACCCGCCCCCCGCUUCCGCCGGGCUGCUGCCUGCCCCGCGCAUGGCAGCGACGCCAGCCGGCCGUCGUCGGACCAACCGCCAACGCCCGGCUCAGUGGCGCGCCCGUACGUGCGGUGCGACGUCGCUGGCCGGCCGGGGCCGGGGCUGUCGACCUAGCUCGAUCGGACGUCGGAGCCAUGCGUUAUUACGUCACAUUCCGGGCGGCGUCGACGGCAACGCGUCCCGGCCGGCCGCGCCCUGCCGUUGCUCGCUC